AUUGAACGCUGGCGGCAUGCUUUACACAUGCAAGUCGAACGGCAGCGCGGGCUUCGGCCUGGCGGCGAGUGGCGAACGGGUGAGUAAUACAUCGGAACGUGCCCAGUAGUGGGGGAUAGCUCGGCGAAAGCCGGAUUAAUACCGCAUACGACCUGAGGGUGAAAGCGGGGGAUCUUCGGACCUCGCGCUAUUGGAGCGGCCGAUGGCAGAUUAGCUAGUUGGUGGGGUAAAGGCCUACCAAGGCGACGAUCUGUAGCUGGUCUGAGAGGACGGCCAGCCACACUGGGACUGAGACACGGCCCAGACUCCUACGGGAGGCAGCAGUGGGGAAUUUUGGACAAUGGGCGAAAGCCUGAUCCAGCAAUGCCGCGUGUGUGAUGAAGGCCUUCGGGUUGUAAAGCACUUUUGGCGGGAACGAAAAGGACUGUGCCAAUACCACGGUUCGAUGACGGUACCCGCAGAAUAAGCACCGGCUAACUACGUG
rnacentral:rRNA from 1 species